CCUGGGAUCCCGUCGGCUCGAGGGUCGGCCGUCACCCAAGGACCCGAGAGCUGGGUGGGGCGGCCCUGGAGGAUUCUCGGCUGGGGCUCCCUUGGCGGCAGGGCCGCGUGGUCUCCGAGGAUGUGGCCUGUGCUUCUCCCAGGAGGAGUGGCCCGGCGCCUGCUGCGUGGAGGUUGGAUGUGGGGGAACUUGGCAUCUGCGGCCCCGGGGUGGUCGGUGUGGGGUAGAGCGGGAGGCACCGGCGAGCGGGGCGCUUUUGUAAGCGCGUCUCAGGACGCCCUUCGCAGGUCUGUCUGCUUGGACGCGUUCCCUGAGAUGUGUGGCCCAGGCUGGAAAGACGAGUUGCUCCUGGCUGAGCACCGGGGAGCCGCCGCGGGCAGAAGCUGCAGUGAGGAGGCGUGUGGGAGAGUGGGAGAGGCUUCGGCCUCAGCGCUCCCGGCCCCAAAGCAGCCCAGCCGAGAGAAACCCAGCAGAGGCGGGCAGGGUAGGGCCUCGUGGCGAGGCACUGUGGAGUCCACGUGUUAGAGAAGCCCUCAGUGUGCGGGGAGGACGGGUCCCCGCCAGCGCCGGCCUCCUCCAGCACCAGGACGGGGAAGGCCGGCAGGAGCGCCGCAGGCUGGGAGGCCGCUCACCCCGGACAGUACGGCAAGUGGGAGGGAGCCUACGGCCGCCACACCGGGGCAGGUCUGAGUGUAGGUAAUCCCCGCCUCUUUCAACGGCGGAGAAUCCACCUUGGAGAAGAACCUUAUGAGUGCAGCCACCGUGGGAAGGAUGCAUUCAGCGAAGGAUACACGCUUGUUUGGCACCAGAAGGUUCACAGCAGAAAGGCCUGGGACUUCCCUGGCGGUCCGGUGGUUAGGACUCCGCGCUUCCACUGCAUGGGGCACGGCUUCGAUCCCUGGUCGGGGAACUAAGAUCCCCGCAAGCCAAAGGGCGCAGCACCGCCCCCGCCCUCCCCCCCCAAAAAAAAGCCUGAUAAGUGCAGUAAUAUCAGAGAACCUUUAGCGACAUCUCUAAGCUCAGUUGGCAUCAGAAAGUUUAUACUAGAGAAAGUCCCUUUGAAUGCAUGGAAUGAAAGCAUUUUGCCAAAGGUGUGCUCUGAUUUACACUGGAAAGUUCACAGCCCAGAAGAGUGUUAGGAGUGCAGCAAACGUGGGAAAACCUCCUGCCAAAACGUCAAGCUUGUGCUGCAUGGAAGUCUGUUGAGUAUGCCCAGUGUGAGAAAGCGUUAAGCUGCAGGUCCAACCUCAUUCACCCCUGGCAGGUUCACCCUCGAGGAAGACCUCAUGGAUGCAGAGAUGGGGGAAGGCCUUCCACCCAAGAGGCUUCUUCAUUCAGCAGCAGAACGUUCGCCGUAGAGAGGCCUGAGUGCGGCCGAUGUGAGAAAACCUUCAGUCAAGGGCCUCACCUCGUAAAGCAUCAGGAAGUUCACGCUGGGGAAACGCCUUAAGUGUGCAGGGAACGUGGUCUCUCCUCGUUCAGCGGAACAGGACGCGUGCCAGAGAUGAGCUGCGGGAGCCUCUGUGAGGAUGCCCUUGGCUGGAAGUUGAGCUUCAUAGGGUCGAACGGGAUAUUCCUGACGAGUGCUAGGUGUGUGGGGAGCUUUCGGGCGCUCUCACCUGCCCGGGGCCCUUGCCAGAGUUCUCUCGCUGUCAGUGCCCGUGGCAGAAGCCAUCUCACCACUCUGCCAGCUGGGAGGGACUCGUCACCUGUGCUCGUUCCAGGCCCUGGAGGGACCCAUGAGCAGCCUGGGCCUGUUGAUGGACCUCAUCUCCUUCCUGACUAGUUAGGGCGUGGGUGUGACCCAGCAUUGGCUAGGAGGACCUCAGCUGGGCCCUUUCUGUGGCUCUCAGGGAUGGUUUACCUUUUUUCAGGGACAUUGUUGGCCUCAUGUGACUCGAUGGAUUUGUCCAGCUUCCAAGUCAGACUUCCAAGGGAACUGCCUGCCUCCCAUUAUUCUGCUGGGUGUGGAAAUAAAGGCCUUGUUACUGAAGCCACCUUGAACCUGGGGAUUUCGGCUUACUGUGUAGGAUCAGUCAGUACUCUUAUUCUUAGGGGCACCGUGUUCAGUGAACCACUGUUAAAGAUCCCUGGGGACCAAGGUGUUUUGAUUGCGGGUACACAUCUGCUGUCUUUCUUGGUGCAUGCACCCCCCUUGCCUUUGGUGGUCGAUGCCUGCCGUUUGGCCUCUGCUCCUCUGGAAUCCCAUCAUCUCCAUUGAAACUGGGGAGCCCACGUCAGUGGCAGCAUCCCCACCAUCAUGCAUGCCGUCGAGGAGAACAGUCCCGAAGCUUUCCAAGGAGGGAGAUAAAAGAGCAUUUGAAGGAAUACCCCAAGGGAGAGUACCCACGGAAGGAACAAAUGUGGAAGGCAGGGAGCCCUCCCUAAGGCUGGAUUGACACCUUGUUGGAGAUGGUGGUGGUGUUUUAACUCAACAGACAGACGGCAGAAAAGUUCUCAGGGUUGAUCUGGGCCAGAGAUGGUCCGUAUGACUGAUGGGCAAGAGCUCUGAGCUAGUGGAAGGCGGGACCCUCUAUCCCCAGCGACCCCCUGUCCUUCACUGGGGUGCCUACGUGAUUCACCUGGAAGCUGCCCUGGGGAAGGGAGGUGCUGUCAACUUUGCUUAGAAGCCUGCUGGGCCGUGUCUGGGCUUGCUGGUGAGCUGCUGAGAAGCCCUCCAGGGAGUGCCCUUGAACCCUCUGGAAACUGCUUACAGGGGUGCCACUGAGCUCCCCACCAGGAAGCCACUUCAGGUGCCCUGAAGCUCACUGGGAGGCGAGCUCCUGGGUACACAGCGCUCCAGCCAAGCACCCGGGGAACAAGGAGGAGAAACUUGCUCUUCCAGUGUCCCUCCAGCUCCCUCUACCUACAGAACCUGACAUUGCGCCAGCUGCAAGGAAGACGUGGUCUGGACCAGAAGCAGGACAGUGGGAAGUGGUGUCAGGGCUGAGAGGCCACGCGUUUACCACCGGCACAACCGAAGUCAUGUUAUGACGCUAGCUCACCCUCGAUGGCAAAACCCAGCAAAGACAGCAGGAGAAAAAGAAUACUGGUCUGUGUCACAUGUGCAUGGAUGCAAAAUGCUAAAGAAAUCUCAGAAAACUGGAUUUAGCAAUAUAUAAACUAUGAUGCGUUAAGACCACCUUGGGUUUAUAUUGGUGUCCGCUGGCUCUCCACCGAAAUCUGUGCUCUUCUUUCAUAGUAUGGGGCUGUCACCGCGAAGCACCCAGCUGUGACCAGGUGACCUCCUCACCAGUGGAGUGCUGCCUCCAGGCUAAGGCUUUUAGGAAGAGAGCACGUGGGCCUCCUCCCCGUCUCUUUCCCCUUCUGCUUUCCGGGUGGUGGGGUGGUGCGGAUGAUGACCGGCCCCUUGGGGAUGGAGGAGUUACCAGGUGGUGGCGUGUGAAGAGCUUCCUGCCAAUCCAGCUUCCAUCCUGGGCUAAACAGGUGAUAAACUUCUCAUGUGUUGAGCUAGUGCCCACUUCGGCAUAGGUGUGUGUGUGUAUGUGUGUGUUUUAGCCUUACCUAGCCAUAUUUAUAAGUUAUAUAGUUCACUAUAUUUACAGCUUAUUAAGGGAUAAAAAUGAUAUGAUCAUGUUAACAGAUGAAAAAGUGUUUAAUAAAAAACCCCUGGCAACUAGGA